UAAUGGGAAGGAUCCAUGCCGAAGAAUGAAGAGGAACUGAGUCCUUAGAAUGUUGUCCUGUGCUCAGAAGGCCCCAUUGACUAGCUCUGUGACAUGGGCUUCAUCUUUCUGAGCUAGAGCUGUCUCUCCUUUCCCGCUCUUCAAACUGCGACGCUGAUCUUGGUUGUCAAGGACUGGAAUCAACUAAAACUCAACCUGCUGGGCACACCUACAAGGAUUUUCUUAACCAGCUCACUUGAGAGGCAUUCAGUUGUUGGUGUUCUUUGGGGCAUCAUCAGUGUAGGCUGAAGACCGGCAGCUCUCCAGGAGUCCUCUAUGACACCAGUGACAGAUUGGGACUGCUGAGACAUCCAGUCUUGUAGACUGGACAACAACUGGAUUCUCGCCCUUUCCAUGAAGAGACAGUCACUGUUGGACUAUCCGGGUCACAGACAGGAGCCAGUCCAAUAAACUCGUGUGUGUGUGUGUGUGUG